AUGAGCUACAGAGAAGGCUGGAAGGAAGAAGUCCCUCGAGAUGUCCGACAUCUUUUUGUUCAGAAUUAUGAUGCAGAAUUGAUUACUGAGAAGAUCCUUGGAUUGGAAAAUUUAGGCACUCUCAUCAUUGAUGUUGUUGAAGAGGAUACACCAGUUGAGGAGACACUCAUUGAGAGUAUAUGCAAGGGGCUGCCGAGAUUGCAGAUAAUGUUGGAAUUCCCCUUUGCUAACCUUGUCAACUUGAGGCACAUGUUCUGCUGGCCAAACAUGAAAUUCCCUAACUUGGGCAGGCUAAUCUUGACCAAACACUACCGUGCUUCACAGUGCAGUCCAGAAGUUGAAGUGGAGGUGCUUGAGGGCCUGUGCCCUCCCGUGGGGCUUCAAGAACUUGUAAUACGUGGAUACAAAGGUUCAAGGUACCCAGAUUGGAUGGUGGGUAAGCAGAGCGAUGGCCUAGCGAGCCUGCGUAAUCUUUUCCUCUCAAGAUGCAGCCAACUGGGACCUAGAUUUGAGGUUUUCCCUCAUCUUCAUGUGCUCCAGAUUUAUACCUACAGCUGGGACUCCUUACCAGGCAACAUGGAGCACCUCAUGUUGCUCAAGGAACUGUAUAUCGGUAAUUGCAAGAAUAUCCGGUCUCUUCCAACACUGCCCCAGUCUAUUGAGGAAUUGUGUCUUGGUUCUUGCAACGGUGAGUUCAUGCAGUCUUGUAAAAUAGGCGAACGUCCAAAUCGGAAAAAGAUUGAGCACAUCCCCAAGAAAGUUGUUGGGUGA
rnacentral:rRNA from 1 species